UCAUCUGUUAGCUCUUGCAGUACCCUGGAACAUCGUUCACCAGGGCCAGGAUGGAUUUGCUGUACACAGGAGUGAUCCUUUUCACCUGCCAUGUCCCUAGGUGUGUGAGAAUCUACAAUGGAGCCGAAAGAAUUACAUCUUCCUGGUUCACACUCAGAAGGAUGCAUCUUUCAACAUUUUGAGAAUAAAUGGAAGAAAAAGGCUUAAAAGUAAAGUACCUUAAAACAUCUGAAUUUAAGAGGUCUCUAAGUCCACUGAUGACAGGAAAAUCUUCAGUGGUUCCAGAGACAAACUGCUGGAAAUCCUGCACAUUUAUUUUCUAGAAGGAAGUGAGCUGAUGAGGAGAGUGAUCUCUUCUGAGAGAUCCUCCCUUUAAAAAUCUGUAAAGGGGCUUCCCUGGUGGCGCAGUGGUUGGGAGUCCGCCUGCCGAUGCGGGGGGCGCGGGUUCUUGCCCCGGGGCGGGAAGAUCCCACAUGCCGCGG